UACGUAGGGUGCGAGCGUAAUCGGAAUUACUGGGCGUAAAGCGUGCGCAGGCGGUUCGUUGUGUCGGCGGUGAAAGCCCCGGGCUUAACCUGGGAAUGGCCGUUGAAACUGGCGAACUGGAGUGUGGCAGAGGGGGUGGAAUUCCGCGUGUAGCAGUGAAAUGCGUAGAGAUGCGGAGGAACACCGAUGGCGAAGGCAGCCCCCUGGGCUAACACUGACGCUCAGGCACGAAAGCGUGGGGAGCAAACAGG
rnacentral:rRNA from 1 species